GCCUGAGUGGCUCAGUCAAUUAAGUGUCUGACUUCAGCUCAGGUCAUUAUCUCACAGUUUGUGGGUUCGAACCCCGCAUCAGGCU
rfam:Felis catus isolate Cinnamon breed Abyssinian chromosome C1, whole genome shotgun sequence.